rnacentral:rRNA from 1 species
GCAGGCUGCAACUCGCCUGCAUGAAGUCGGAAUUGCUAGUAAUCGCGGAUCAGCAUGCCGCGGUGAAUACGUUCUCGGGCCUUGUACACACCGCCCGUCGCACCAUGGGAGUCGGUAACACCCGAAGUCUGUAGCCUGACGCAAGAGGGCGCAGCCGAAGGUGGGAUUGAUGACUGGGGUGAAGUCGUAACAAGGUAUC